AUGUCGUAGCAAUACGGCUAGUAAACCGGCGCACGGGUGAGUAACACGUGGACAAUUUGCCCUUGAGUCUGGGAUAACCCGUCGAAAGACGAGCUAAUACCGGAUAAGACCACAGGAAGUUCGCUUCCCGAGGUAAAAGAUGGCCUCUGCUCCUGCAAGCUAUCACUCAUCGAGAAGUUCGCGGCCUAUCAGCUAGUUGGUGAGGUAACGGCCCACCAAGGCUAAGACGGGUAGCUGGUCUGAGAGGAUGGUCAGCCACACUGGGACUGAGACACGGCCCAGAGUCCUACGGGAUGCAGCAGUCAGGAAUAUUGCGCAAUGGAGGAAACUCUGACGCAGCGACGCCGCGUGGGUGAUGAAGGCCUUCGGGUCGUAAAGCCCUGUCGGAGGGGAAGAAAAGCGGUCUGGCUAAUAUCCAGGCCGCUCUUGACGGUACCCUCAAAGGAAGCACCGGCUAACUCCGUGCCAGCAGCCGCGGUAAGACGGAGGGUGCAAGCGUUGUUCGGAUUGACUGGGCGUAAAGGGCGUGUAGGCGGUUGGUCAAGUCUGGUGUGAAAGCCCGGGGCUUAGCUCCGGAAGUGCACCGGAAACUAGCCGACUGGAGCGCGAUAGAGGAGGGUGGAAUUCCUGGUGUAGCGGUGAAAUGCGUAGAUAUCAGGAGGAACACCGGCGGCGAAGGCGGCCCUCUGGAUCGUUGCUGACGCUGAGACGCG
rnacentral:rRNA from 1 species